rnacentral:rRNA from 1 species
UGGGGAAUUUUGGACAAUGGGCGAAAGCCUGAUCCAGCAAUGCCGCGUGUGUGAAGAAGGACUUCGGGUUGUAAAGCACUUUUGUCCGGAAAGAAAUGGCUCUGGUUAAUACCUGGGGUCGAUGACGGUACCGGAAGAAUAAGGACCGGCUAACUACGUGCCAGCAGCCGCGGUAAUACGUAGGGUCCAAGCGUUAAUCGGAAUUACUGGGCGUAAAGCGUGCGCAGGCGGUUGUGCAAGACCGAUGUGAAAUCCCCGAGCUUAACUUGGGAAUUGCAUUGGUGACUGCACGGCUAGAGUGUGUCAGAGGGGGGUAGAAUUCCACGUGUAGCAGUGAAAUGCGUAGAGAUGUGGAGGAAUACCGAUGGCGAAGGCAGCCCCCUGGGAUAACACUGACGCUCAUGCACGAAAGCGUGGGGAGCAAACAGG